CUGUAGAUGGAGGAAUUUCCACUUUGGUGUUUAUGUCAGGGCUCUCCAGGGAGGUUGAUGCAGCUAGGAACUGAAGUGCUUGGAGACAUGAUGUGUAAUAGUGAGGGGACUAGUGUGUGAUUUCUCAUUCUGCCCAUGAGAUUUGAGGACUGUGAAUCUGCAUGCAUGGAAAUCAUCUUGGGGAAGCUGCAGUAGUAGCAACGUGGCUCCCAUUUAUGCUUCAAUAACAGUUAGUUUACUCCAGAUUUGUUCCAUCCACUUCCUGCCGCGAGUGUGGGGAACCCUAGGGUGAAUUCAGUGGUGUUACAGUUUCCCUGCUUGACACACAGGAGUCUCUCCCCAAUUUUCUUGCCUUCUGAGGAAUAAUCCAAGACUUGUUGAAAGCACUCAGUGAAGCAAUCAUAGGAUGGGGUGUGAUCACCAGACACCAGAUGACCAGACAGCAGUUGCCUAGGAGGAACAUCUUGUGCCCACCUGAGCUGGGGCAAAGCCCAGGCAGGUGUGUUGGUGUUGCAGAAGCCAGGCAUUUCAAGGAUCAGUGUUCCCGCAUGGAGGUGGGAACUCUGAUCUGGAUCCCUAACAUGCUUCAGGCCUACCCUGUUGAGCAGGAAUGUACCACAUACCGAUGAGGACUCGCUCGAACUGCACAUGGUGCUGUUGAAACUGGAGGAUGUGGUGAAACAAAUCCGCGGCCCACUCGACAAGCAGGCCCAGCUGUUGGAAACGUCUGCGUCGCUUCAACUAAGGGUAAGGUGCACAUACGUUGUUUUUCUGGUGCUCGUGUCCUUGAUGUUGCUGCACAGGUACCAAGAAUCCUGAAGAAGGAUGAG
ensembl:lncRNA